CACGUAGGGGGCGAGCGUUGUCCGGAUUUAUUGGGCGUAAAGAGCUCGUAGGCGGUUUCGUAGGUCGGAUGUGAAAACUCCAGGCUCAACUUGGAGACGCCAUUCGAUACUGCGAUGACUUGAGUCCGGUAGGGGAGUGUGGAAUUCCUGGUGUAGCGGUGAAAUGCGCAGAUAUCAGGAGGAACACCGGCGGCGAAGGCGGCACUCUGGGCCGGUACUGACGCUGAGGAGCGAAAGCGUGGGUAGCAAACAGG
rnacentral:rRNA from 1 species